UACAGAGGUCCCAAGCGUUGUUCGGAUUUACUGGGCGUAAAGGGUGCGUAGGUGGUCGGAUAAGUUUGAUGUGAAAUCUCCGAGCUCAACUCGGAAACUGCAUUGAAUACUAUUCGACUCGAGGGUUGGAGGGGGGACUGGAAUACUUGGUGUAGCAGUGAAAUGCGUAGAUAUCAAGUGGAACACCAGUGGCGAAGGCGAGUCCCUAGACAACUCCUGACACUGAGGCACGAAAGCUAGGGGAGCAAACAGG
rnacentral:rRNA from 1 species